AAGGGUUGCUGAAAUAACUGCUGACUCAUUCAUACACACUAACAGUAGGGUUAAUUAAAUGAUGCUAAUACUACUGUAAUUGUGUGAAUGAAGCGGGAGAUAUUUUGCAUUAUCCUCUUUCUCUGUGCUUGGACUGAAGGGGAGCUCCUUCUUUCUGUUGCCUCCAUUAUUAUUAUAUUGGUAUAUAUUUUCUAUCAUAUAUGUCUCAAUUUCAAUUCAAUCAAAUAUAUAUGUAUAUGCUUGGCACAAAAAGGUGUAGCUGAUGUUUACACAUCAUAGAUCUAUAUCGUUCUUCUAGGCCUACGGUCUUUGUAAGUAUAUUUAUUAACUCUGAUAUUCACCACCAUAUAUAACACUCACUACUGCUACCCAAAGAUUCACCAAGCACUUGCAUAUGACUCUUAAUUAAUGGCUACAUACAUGCCCCCACUUGCCAGCAAAGUCAUGAUGUCCGACAUGGGUAAAUAAACAGUUACACCACAAUCAGUUUCACUUGCCUCUUUUCAUGAAUGCGAAAGCAGAUCAAUUGUGCUACAUUAAUUCCUUUCCAGUUCAAGCUUCUAUUCUUAUUCUUCUCUCUCCGAUCCGUACAAUUUAUGGUUCUAUUUUUUUGAAGAGUUGGCCAUUAUGAUUGAGGGGUGUGUGACUCCUCGUUUGAAUUCUUACUGCAUAUAUAUGGACCCAAAUAUCAAGAGCAGAGUGUAUUGUACAUUAUACUAAUGACAUUCACAUUCCAAUCACCGGUUGUCAGAUAAUUUUAUGGAAUUCAUUGAUAUCCUAGGCAUUGUCUUCGGUAUUAGAAUAAAUUAAUACAGAUAUAAUAU